rnacentral:rRNA from 1 species
GUGUGAAUUGCAGAAUCCCGUGAACCAUCGAGUCUUUGAACGCAAGUUGCGCCCGAGGGACCCUCCCGAGGGCACGCCUGCCUGGGCGUUAGAAGCCCAUCAACGCUCGGUCGCCCGACCGCACGCGGACACUGGCCCUCCGAGCCGAAUAGGCACGGCGGGCAUAAGUGCGAGGCCGUCGACCGCGUCGGGAGCGGCAAGUGGUGGGCUACAGCGCAUGCCGACCCCGACCCGCGCCGACAACCGGCCCUCACGACCCCAAAACGAGGAUACCGUCGCCGCGGCUUCCCGGCCGCGCGGCGCAUUCGGACCGAUACCCCAGGUCAGGCGGGGCCACCCGCUGAGUUUAAGCAUAUAAAUAAGCGGAGGAGAAGAAACUUACGAGGAUUCCCCUAGUAACGGCGAGCGAACCGGGAGCAGCCCAGCCUUAGAAUCGUGGCGGCCCUGCCGUCCGAAUUGUAGUC